UUUUUUUUUUUUUGUAAGUAGAGUCGAAAGCCAGAACAUCUCCAAAAUAUUGGUAGUCCAACCUACUUCCCCCGUCGGCCCAAAACAUAUUUGCAAGCAUUCUAUCCUCGGUCAAAUUAUACCGUGCCAUCAGCAUAGGAUCCGCCUCUGCCUUUCCUUCUAGGUAUGCUAUCGCAGAUUCAGCAUCUUCGUCAACAAUUUGCUCGCGCCUUUGCUUGUCAAUAUAAUUGUACGCGUCCUUCUUUAGAAAUCCUACCAAUGAAUACCUACCCACCAAUCCUGCCAUAUAUCGCAUUGUUUUUGCCGUCGAUAUCCCGCACUCACAGAAUCUAUCAAUUUGCGCUUUCGCCCCUUUAGUCAAUGACCUAUACUUUGGGAUUAGGUGCACCAUUACCUGGGGAGUCAAUUCAUGGUUGUUGUUGUUGUUGAUCUUCCUUACUCGCCAUACGGAAGCACUCUUAUCUAGGUGAACAGAAAACUUUGCCUUGCAAUUUGUUCUCGUCUCAGGUUUAUGUACUCGCAUCCUAUCCAGUCUAUUAUAGUGCUUGGGAUCUCUGAGUCCCUCCUUAUUACAAAAAAAAACCUCCUCUUCCUAACGUUUCCAUCAUCGUCCCUUCGUGAGUCCCCUUUUCGGACACCGAACCCAUGAUACCUACCAAAAUUUUUGUAGAACUCAUACGCAUCAUCAUCAAAAGUCUUUUGCAUAAUAUCUUCAAUAGUCAAACCCUCAACAUCUCCAACAUCCAAACACAUUUGACUCUCUGAUUCACUUCCAAUAGUAUCAUUCAAAAUGUCCUUCGCCACCGCCUCAUCACAACGCCCGUUUUCUUCAUUAUUUUUCCCCUCACCACCAUUGUUAUGCACCGCAUCCAUCUACAUUUCAGAAAAUCAGAAUCUUCAAAAUCCAUCAACUUAAAUAAAUUUUUUAUAUUAUCUUAUCAUUUUAAUUGAGAUAUUUAAAUAGAUGUUAUUAUUUAAUUUUAUAAUAAAAUAAAUAUUUACUGACUAAAAUAAAAAUAACAUAUAAAAAUUAGCAAAAUAUAUUUUCAUAAUCACAACGCCCAUUAUUUUUCCCCUCACCACCAUUGUUAUGCACCGCAUCCAUCUACAUUUCAGAAAAUCAGAAUCUUCAAAAUCCAUCAAAUCCAUCAACCGUAAAUAUCCUUCUUAUUACACCCGCAUUAUUCCCCCAAUCAAAGUUUAACACAAACGUAUUCCACUACAGCAAAUAGAUCACAUAGCCAAAUUUCUACAAAGCCAAGAGCACAUGCAAGGUUAUCACAAAACACAACAACAAUAGCUCGCAAGUUCAAUAACACGCUAAAAAAUUAACAACCAUAUUACCCCUAACGCAAACCCCAAUCUCCAUAAACAACAUCAAUACCACAUUCCCUCGUGUGCAUCAACAAUAACCACAUCAAUUAAUUUAAUAACAAUUUACCAAAAAAGUUCUAAUUACAGCAAAUAGUCAGUUUAUUGGUAAUCAGAACAAGAGACCAUCACCAGUAACUAGAACAAUAACCAAAAUAGUCAAUGAGCAAUAAUUUCAAUUUCAGAAGCUCCGGCUUCAUUAAUAUGUUCCAGAACAAGAAGAUAAUACCAUCACUCAUAAUCGGAACAAAAAAUCUCAACAGUAAUAUGAAUUUUAGACGCUCAACUUUAAUUAUUUAUUUUCUAGAAAAUUAAUUAUUUUCCAGAACAAAAAGGCAAUUCCAUCACUAGUAAUCAGCACAGCAAUCAAAGGAAUAAUCAGAACAGUAAUUUUAAUUUCAAAACCUCAACUUUAGUUAACUUUUUUUCAGAACAAAAGCUCAAUACCAUCACUUGUAACCAGAACAAUAACCAAAAUAAUAAUCAGAACAGUAAUAUAAAUUUCAGAACCCCAACCUUAAUUUUUUUUCCAGAACAAUAGGACAAUACCAUCACUGGUAACCAGAACAAUAACCAAAACAAUCACUAUCCACAACCACGCGUCACAUUCCAACAGCGAUACAUACAGUUCGCAUGACAUGAUGAUUAUGUUGGUAAGCACCACAGAACUUCCCUUUAUACUUUUAUAUGUCUUAUUGAGGACUCGAAUCCGUGUAGAGCUCCCAGUGAGGCAGCCAGGCAGGUAAUGCUGCUGUUUAUCCAAGACCUCGACUGCGUACAAUAUGGUGUUUUGCAUGAAUAUGAUGCAUGAUAUAAUUUGUCGAAAGCCUAUUCAGAAUUCGCUCCAUAUUUUGGAGAAACACUCCCAAAAAAAGGGUUAUGGAAAUCAUAGAAAUUUCCUCCAUAUAUAAACUUUUUAGCCAUGGUUAAAAUCACAUGUACACCACUUUGUUAUUGUGUUUUUUUUUUUAAAUAUAUAUAGACAAGACCCAUACACAUCAUAUUAGCAAUCAAAUCCUCAAAAGAAUCAAAUGAAUAAAUGCUCAAUGGUUUUCAAGUUAUUUCUAAAAUAUCACUUUCUGCAUCAAAACUUUGUUUCAUUGAUAUUAUUCUGGACAAAGUUAAGAUAUGGCAGUGUUCACAACUUCAUAUCCAUCUAUCUCUUAUAUCCUGAAAAAACUAUUUCUAUUAACAAGUAUAUGAUAAUUGAAUAUACACUUUCUAACCUCAAAAUUCUGCUACUAAUAUAUAAAUUAAGAUCAUGAAGAGGAGGACAUUUGAUCCACCCUUUUAUCAACUGCUCUAAAAAUCUGAGAUCUAGAACUUGUGACAAAAAGCUUUACAGCAUAUGCACCGAAGCAGGCCCAAACACAUCGACUCAUACUCGAUUCAGUCAUCACUGGAUCACAGAAAAAUUGUUUAUCAGCUUUCCUUGUCAAGCAUGUUUCUCAUAUUCAGACAUCAUUUUCCACAGCAGUGUUGACAUGCAGCUAAGAAAACGAUAAG
rnacentral:lncRNA from 1 species